rnacentral:rRNA from 1 species
AGUGGCGAACGGGUGAGGAACACGUGAGAAAUUUGCCCCGAACUUUGGGAUAACAGUUGGAAACGACUGCUAAUACCGAAUGCCGUUACGAAGUGGCAUCACUUUGUAACGAAAGAAUUUCGGUUCGGGAGAAUCUCGCGGCCUAUCAGCUUGUUGGUGAGGUAAUGGCUCACCAAGGCUACGACGGGUAGCUGGUCUGAGAGGAUGAUCAGCCACACUGGGACUGAGACACGGCCCAGACUCCUACGGGAGGCAGCAGUGGGGAAUCUUGCGCAAUGGGCGAAAGCCUGACGCAGCAACGCCGCGUGCGGGAAGAAGGCUUUCGGGCUGUAAACCGCUUUCAGCAGGAACGAAAAUGACGGUACCUGCAGAAGAAGGAGCGGCCAACUAUGUGCCAGCAGCCGCGGUGAUACAUAGGCUUCAAGCGUUGUCCGGAUUUAUUGGGCGUAAAGAGUUCGUAGGCGGUCAAGUAAGUCGGGUGUGAAAACUCUGGGCUUAACCCAGAGACGCCACUCGAUACUACUGUAACUAGAGUUCGGUAGGGGAGCGGGGAAUUCCUAGUGUAGCGGUGAAAUGCGCAGAUAUUAGGAGGAACACCGGUGGCGAAGGCGCCGCUCUGGGCCGAUACUGACGCUGAGGAGCGAAAGCGUGGGUAGCAAACAGGAUUAGAUACCCUGGUAGUCCACGCCGUAAACGGUGGGCACUAGGUGUGGGCUCCAACCAACGGAGUCCGCGCCAUCGCUAACGCAUUAAGUGCCCCGCCUGGGG